AGGACGAACGCUGGCGGCAUGCUUCAUACAUGCAAGUCGAACGAUAAGGUCUCUUCGGAGAUACAUAAGUGGCGGACGGGUGAGUAAUAUGUAGGAAAUCUGCCCUUGAGAGGGGGACAACAGAGGGAAACUUCUGCUAAUACCCCAUAUGAGCGUACCUGAAAUGGUAUUCUUGAAAACUCCGGUGCUCAAGGAUGAGCCUGCAUCUGAUUAGCUUGUUGGCGGUGUAAUGGACCACCAAGGCGACGAUCAGUAGCUGGUUUGAGAGGAUGAUCAGCCACAAUGGGACUGAGACACGGCCCAUACUCCUACGGGAGGCAGCAGUAGGGAAUUUUGCGCAAUGGGCGAAAGCCUGACGCAGCAAUGCCGCGUGAACGUAGAAGCCCUUCGGGGUGUAAAGUUCUGUCAGUGGGGACGAAUUUUGACGGUACCCACAGAGGAAGCACCGGCUAACUCCGUGCCAGCCGCGGC
rnacentral:rRNA from 1 species